rnacentral:rRNA from 1 species
GGGGAAUCUUCCGCAAUGGGCGCAAGCCUGACGGAGCAACGCCGCGUGAGUGAUGAAGGUCUUCGGAUCGUAAAACUCUGUUAUUAGGGAAGAACAAACGUGUAAGUAACUGUGCACGUCUUGACGGUACCUAAUCAGAAAGCCACGGCUAACUACGUGCCAGCAGCCGCGGUAAUACGUAGGUGGCAAGCGUUAUCCGGAAUUAUUGGGCGUAAAGCGCGCGUAGGCGGUUUUUUAAGUCUGAUGUGAAAGCCCACGGCUCAACCGUGGAGGGUCAUUGGAAACUGGAAAACUUGAGUGCAGAAGAGGAAAGUGGAAUUCCAUGUGUAGCGGUGAAAUGCGCAGAGAUAUGGAGGAACACCAGUGGCGAAGGCGACUUUCUGGUCUGUAACUGACGCUGAUGUGCGAAAGCGUGGGGAUCAAACAGGAUUAGAUACCCUGGUAGUCCACGCCGUAAACGAUGAGUGCUAAGUGUUAGGGGGUUUCCGCCCCUUAGUGCUGCAGCUAACGCAUUAAGCACUCCGCCUGGGGAGUACGACCGCAAGGUUG